AGAUCGUAAAAUGUGAGGUAAAAUGACUAUAUAAAUUAAAUUAAUAAAUGUCUGUUUUGAAUUAUAGAUAGAAGAUUUUAACCGUACAGGUCCGGUGUCCUACUACCUAUUCGCUGGUGGCCUAAAAGGCUAUUCCAGUCCGGACGGGUAGGUGAGCUUACGGGCUCAACCUGAGAAAAUUUGCUAACUAGCUUGCCCUAGCAAGAGCAGUGCUUCACAGAAUCUGCCACUGGAUCGGAAUCGCGACCCACUGAGAAGAUCCGCGGAGCAACUCAGUGGGCUUAAACAUGGAGUCAUUUUAAGACAAGCUUUCGUUAUAGUGUUGGUUUCCAAGAGUCGUAGACACAAUUAAAAGCUAAAUUUAAAAAAAAAAAAUUAAUAAAAAUGUCACGCAUUUUUAUUAUUUUCUCAAAUUCGGACGUAUCGUGUAAUUUCACACUUACAAUUUUUUUGGUCACUGACAACUAAGAGGUCGACACGACAGGAAAGAAAAUUCAAUGCUAGAAAAUCAUGCCCAUCCGGAGCAUUCGUCUUUACAUUUUUGUUCAGUCGGGAAAUUGUUACUGACAGGUGAAUCUGGCACAUUGGGGCAGUGAGCCGACCAUCGGAUCUCGACGCAUUUCUGGAAGUCCCAGUCAAAGACGUACCUGAAAAGAUUGAACGACAAUAUUAAAUUGGAUAAAUAAAUAAAA